CCCACACAGAGCAUCUCCAGCAGUGCUGCUCCUAAGUCUGGUUUCUUGGAUGAGGAAACAGAUAUUGAUCAUCAUACGCAAGUUCACACAGCCAAUAAUUUGUGGAGUCAGGAUUUGAACCCAGAUUGCCUGACUCCCAAGCUCAUGUUUGUUGAAUGAAUAAAUGAAUGAAUGAUUGACUUAGCCACAGUUUACCCAGGCAUGCCCAGAGCAGGAUCACACCCUUGGUAUGGACAAACUUCCAGAGAGGGAAUGGAGGACUUACCUACGUCCUUGCUCGCUGCCCAUGACUGAGCUUUACAAUGCCCGAUGAGGACAGUAUGCUGCGCUGAGCAAGAAGUGACUGAUGUCAGCUGGCUGUAUGACCUUGGGUAUGACCUUCCGGUGUGAGUUUCUUCAUCUAAAAACAAAAUGAAAGGAUUCUUCUGGGUGAUUAAAAUCUCCAGCAAACUACAUAUUGAAUCACUUCCAAGACAUCGCUGACAAGUAACCAUCAGCUUCUGUUUGCAUUCUGCUAGGGACAGGGUGCUCACUACCUCAUGAGCAGCCUAUUUCACCAGA